UCUUCCUCUCCAGAAACUUCUCCCGACUUCUUUCUUCUUCUCUCUUCUCUGUUUCUUCUCCUUUCCCCGCUUCUUCCUUUCUUCUUUUUUCUUUUUUUUUUCCUUCUUCCGUUCCCGAUUCACCUUCUCUUCUCUCAGCUCUCCCCUUCUUCUUCUCAUAUUCUUCUCAACCCUCCCCCUUUCUUCUCCUUUCUUCUCCCACGGAGGGAGGAGGCGAGCUUGGGAGGGGCCAGGCCAUGACCGGUAGUGCCUCCAGCCGAGCCCGCUGCGCCCUCGAUCGCGUUUGCAGCCGACGCUCGCGGCCUACGCGCACGGCCGAGCCGAGGCUGGCGGCUCCCGUGACGUCCGUGGAUGCUCCCCGUGAUGCCGACGAACUCGCAGCCGCACACGGGAAAGGGAAAAUGAGGUGGUUGGGAGGCUUACCUGGUUUCGGGGGUGAACUGUGAUGACCCUCUUCGACGGCUCUCUUCCUCUCCGGAGGCAGUGGAGUUUCUUUUUUUUUAUUUUUUCAGUGGCAAGCGAGGAAGAAGGUCACCCAACCGGAAGGGGACUCGGCGUGGCGGCUCUACCUCGGGUGGCUUUCAAAUGAGGAGAAGAAGCCCUAAAAAAAAUAGGGGUUUCCGUCUUCCUCGGGUGAUCGCGAUGAAUCCCCCUUCAUCGUGUGCCCUCACGUGCGACACACGUGAGGCCAAAAGGCUUGGGUCUCACACUAUCAAUGAACAGUAAUGUUAUCAGAACAAAUCUAGUUAGCGUCAGCUACAUGAAUCAUUUUUCUUUAUUUCGCCAUUUGUGCUACCUCCAUCUUUGUAUAAAUAAGUUUAUUUCUUAUUCUA